AUGGAGGAGAAAAAUUUGCAGCCUUCCUCUAAUGAUGAACAGGAAGAUUCCCUUUCAUUUAUUUUUGAUCCAAGAACAUGGGAAGUUCUUGACAAUAGCAAAAGGGAUAUUUUAAUUGAGAAGGGACCUAUUAGAGUACCGGAUCUGGAGUUCGAGAAGGACACCAUUGGUAGACACUUUCCAUAUGCUUUUUACUCCAGGAAGUUAAGUAAUGGUGAGUUUGUUGACAGAAAGUGGUUGGUUUACCACAAAGGUGCAAACAAAGUAUAUUGUUUUUGUUGCAAGUUGUUCAAAUCAAAACUGAGCAAGUCUAUGCUGGCAUCUGAUGGAUUGAAUGACUGGAAGCGUCUGAGUGUGCGUCUCAAAGAUCAUGAGAACAGUGUUGACCAUUUAACAAACAUGAAUACAUGGAAUGAAGUUAGGUUGAGAUUAAGCAAAAAUCGAACAAUUGAUGAUGAUAUGCAAAGGGGGAUUGCAAAGGAGAAG
rnacentral:rRNA from 1 species